CGUUUCCUCUGGGCAGAUUAAUAGCCACUGGAGUCCUUAGUUAUGAUGGUGAUAAAUGGGCGAAACACCGAAGAAUCAUCAACCCGGCUUUCCACCUUGAGAAGAUCAAGGUUUAAAGGCUUUAUCUUCCAUAGUCCCCAAUCAGAUUAGAUUGCUUUAUGUAUGUAUGUUCAUUUGGCUCUGAACCAAAUUGUGCCUUCUGCUUCUAUGUAUAGAAUAUGGUACCUGCGUUCCACCAGAGCUGCAGCGAGAUUGUUUGCAAAUGGGACAAGUUAGUGUCGGAUAAAGAGUCAUCAUGUGAGGUAGAUGUUUGGCCUGGGCUUGUGAGUAUGACUGCAGAUGUGAUCUCCCGUACUGCUUUUGGCAGCAGCUGCGUAGAAGGGCAGAGGAUAUUUGAGCUCCAAGCAGAACUAGCACAGCUCAUCAUUCAAACGGUUAGGAAAGCUUUCAUCCCUGGAUAUAGGUAAUGAAAAACUCAACUUAUCUGAUUUAAUAUAGGUCCUUCUGAGCUUGACUCUUGAUCUUAAAAUGUCGCAAUCUAUUCCUUAAAGAUAUGAACCGUGUUAACAUUAUCUUUCUGCCAAUCUUUUUCUGUAGUUAUCUCCCAACAAAAGGUAACAGAAGGAUGAAAGCAAAAGCAAGAGAAAUCCAAGUUAUACUGAGAGGGAUCGUUAACAAAAGGUUAAGGGCCAGAGAAGCUGGUGAAGCACCAAACGACGAUUUACUGGGAAUACUUCUUGAAUCGAAUUUGGGGCAAACGAAAGGAAACGGAAUGAGUACCGAGGAUCUGAUGGAGGAGUGCAAGUUGUUCUAUUUCGUCGGGCAAGAGACAACAUCAGUACUUCUGGUUUGGACAAUGGUUCUGUUAAGUCAACACCAAGAUUGGCAGGCUCGUGCACGAGAAGAAGUGAAGCAAGUGUUUGGCGAUAAAGAACCUGAUGCAGAAGGACUCAACCAGCUCAAAGUUGUAAGUAAAAGCAAAUCAUAAACCUCUUGGUGACUUUUGUUGUGUUUUGAUGAUUUUUGAUGAAUGAUUUGAUCCCACGCAGAUGACGAUGAUAUUAUAUGAGGUCCUUAGGCUAUAUCCUCCAAUACCUCAGCUGAGCAGAGCCAUUCACAAAGAGAUGGAGCUUGGAGAUCUGACACUACCAGGCGGCGUUCUGAUCAAUCUACCUAUCCUUCUAGUCCAACGCGACACGGAGCUGUGGGGAAACGAUGCAGGAGAGUUCAAGCCAGAUAGAUUCAAAGACGGUCUCUCAAAGGCAACAAAGAACCAAGCCUCCUUCUUUCCUUUUGCGUGGGGAUCGAGGAUCUGCAUUGGCCAGAAUUUUGCAUUGCUUGAGGCAAAGAUGGCAAUGGCAUUGAUACUCCAGAGAUUCUCCUUUGAGCUUUCUCCUUCCUAUGUUCACGCACCUUACACAGUCUUCACCAUUCACCCACAGUUCGGUGCUCCUCUUAUCAUGCACAAGCUCUAAUCGUUCGUAGCAACCCAUUUUGUUGUUAUCAAAUAUACUUUCCAUUCACAGAUGAAACAAUUCCAUAUCAGUCUACCUAUAAUGCUAGUCCAACGCGACACCAUGAUGUGGGAAUUCAAGCCUGAGAGAUUCAAAGACGGUCUUUCAAAGGCAACAAAGAGCCACGUCUCCUUCUUUCCAUUUGCAUGGGGACCGAAGAUAUGCAUCGGCCAGAAUUUUGCCAUGUUGGAGGCAAAGAUGGCAAUGGCGUUGAUUCUACAGAGAUUCUCCUUCGAGCUUUCUCCUUCCUAUGUUCAUGCGCCUCAAAUAGUCGUCACCAUUCACCCACAGUUCGGUGCACAUCUUAUCCUGCGCAAGCUGUAAUUCUAGAAUCCCAUGUGCUCUUGUCAGAUAAACAGAGGAAAAUAAACCAGAUCAUAGUAUAAAACUCAAAUCUUUUUAUUAAUUGAAUUCAGAACUUUGUGCUCACAUAUGUCUUGACAAACCAAAAUAUUUCCAAGAAAAAGAGUGAAACGCAUGGACCAAUAUAUGUCUUCCUAUUUUCGUCGCUUUUCACACGAAGUCCAAAUUUGCUUCUUGCGCCUUGGUGGCACGACUGUGAGGGUCCAAGUAAAGCAAAAAUUAAUUAGUCAUUACAAAAUAAUUGCCCAAAAUAUCAAAAUAUAAAGUAUUUAAGACAUCAGGGGUGAUGUCAUCACCACAUCCAUAUCUUCUCCGAAAUUCUAAACAUUUAUACAUCCUGAGAAUGGUCACAAAUUCUCUACCUCUCUCUCUCUCUCUCUCUGGUAGAGAAAAUGGAGAUAUCAGUUGCAUCGGUAACAGUUUCUGUAGCUGUAGUUGUUGUGUCAUGGUGGGUAUGGAGAACUUUACAGCGGGUUUGGCUUAAACCAAAGAUGCUUGAGAGUUACCUGAGAAGACAAGGUCUUGCCGGAACUCCUUACACGCCUCUUGUCGGUGAUUUGAAGAGAAAUUUUAGCAUGCUGGCUGAGGCAAGAUCCAAACCCAUCAACCUAACAGAUGAUAUCACACCACGUAUCGUGCCUUAUCCGUUGCAAAUGCUCAAGACUCAUGGUAUGCUUCCCGGUUGGCAUCUUGAUUCCUCUUUGUUUAGAACUAUUUUGUAGAGUAUCUAGAAAAAGUUUCAACUUUCGUAUCUCUAUGUGGUUGAAACAGGGAGGACUUUCUUUACAUGGUUUGGACCCAUACCAACAAUCACCAUAAUGGAUCCUGAGCAAAUCAAAGAAGUGUUCAACAAAGUUUAUGAUUUCCAGAAGGCACAUACGUUUCCUCUGGGCAGAUUAAUAGCGGCUGGACUCGUUAGUUAUGAUGGUGAUAAAUGGACAAAACACCGAAGAAUCAUCAACCCGGCUUUCCACCUUGAGAAGAUCAAAGUUUAUAAGCUUUCUUUUCCGUAGUCCCAGUUUAGCUUUAUGUAUGUAUGUCCAUUUGGUUCUGAACCAAUUUGUGUCCUCUGCUUUUAUGUACAGAAUAUGGUACCUGCGUUCCACCAGAGCUGCAGCGAGAUUGUUGGCGAAUGGGACAAGUUAGUGACGGAUAAACAGUCAUCCUGUGAGGUGGAUAUUUGGCCUUGGCUUGUGAGUAU
rnacentral:lncRNA from 1 species